GUGGGGAAUUUUGGACAAUGGGCGCAAGCCUGAUCCAGCAAUGCCGCGUGCAGGAAGAAGGCCUUCGGGUUGUAAACUGCUUUUGUACGGAACGAAAAGGCUCUGGCUAAUACCUGGAGCUCAUGACGGUACCGUAAGAAUAAGCACCGGCUAACUACGUGCCAGCAGCCGCGGUAAUACGUAGGGUGCGAGCGUUAAUCGGAAUUACUGGGCGUAAAGCGUGCGCAGGCGGUGCUGUAAGACAGGCGUGAAAUCCCCGGGCUCAACCUGGGAAUUGCGCUUGUGACUGCAGCGCUGGAGUGCGGCAGAGGGGGAUGGAAUUCCGCGUGUAGCAGUGAAAUGCGUAGAUAUGCGGAGGAACACCGAUGGCGAAGGCAAUCCCCUGGGCCUGCACUGACGCUCAUGCACGAAAGCGUGGGGAGCAAACAGGAUUAGAUACCCCGGUAGUCC
rnacentral:rRNA from 1 species